GUCCUCGUAGCUCAGCAGGAUAGAGCAUUCGAUUCCUAAUCGAAAGGCCGUGGGUUCGAAUCCCGCCGUGGACACCA
rnacentral:tRNA from 2 species